AUGAAUAGGAACCACUCACUGAUUUUACGGAAAGAGCUGAGUGGUGUGCUGCUGCUGCUUAAGAGCAUAGAACAUCUUUGGCAUAGCAGAAUGGCAUUAAUGUGGAGCAGCAGCUUAUUAGAACUUAGGUUGGGGGAAAACUCUAUUUGUGAUCUGCACUCACAAUUCCAGAGGAGACACAUACACAAGACAGAUAUGGGAGGUUCUCUCUGGACUCUUGAGUGUGAUUCUUUGGGAAGGUGGUUUCUUGGUCUGCGGCAGGACAACUAGCCACAGCAAAUGAAGUCUUGCCCUGGUCUGCUGCGUGAUGUCAAGAUAGUGUUGGCGAAGGCAUUAUCCCAACUGGAAAACAGGCAAAUGACCUGAAUGGAAUUUUCUCUAAAGAAGACAAGCAGUUGGUCAACAUUUAUAUUAAAAAAGCUGUUUAGUAUCACUAUCAGAAUGCAAAUCCAACUCAAUGAAAUAUCAACUCAGAAAAUAAUGUUGAUGAAGGUGUGAUGAAAUUGGAACUCUCAUAUGCUUUUGGCGG
rnacentral:lncRNA from 1 species